AGGCUUUUGAAAUUAAAUCCCGUCUCCUGGUACCACCCCCUAUCCCGCCCACCAUAGGGCGGGAUCUGUCUUCGAAACCUCCUGUACCCCUUUCUGCCACCUCUACCCGGUUAUGGAUUUUCAUCCUCAGCAGAUCUCAAAGCCAAAGCCUGCGGUCUAGGUCCCCUGCUCCCAGGUGGCAAUGCAGUUCCUGUACACAUUCACACAGCCCCCAGGCUCCAGUUAGCAAGGGGCGUGUCGAGGAUGGAGAUGAGCGUCCAUCUGCCCGCGGACCGCAGAUGAAGUUUGAGAGAAGGAGAGCUCAAACUUGUGACGGAGACUACAGAAGACUCAGUAGUGGGAUGGAUAAAGACCCUUGACCGCUUCGUUCAAGCCUUGAGUCGACUGUCUGUGCAAAGGCGGUGUUGACGAACAAGUUCCUGCCUUAUGAACAUUGGCCAACCUCUUUGGGACCAGCUUGUAGCUGCCCCAUAGCCCUGCUGCCCCCAUCAAUGAAAAGUGACAAGGCUGGAGCCUGUACUGAUUUAAGAAGGAGCCUGAUGACAUCACUGUGCCUCUUGUUUCAGAAGGCCCAGGAGCACAGUGUCCCAGCCUACCUACUAUCUGCAGACACACUUCAGGGAUUGCCAUCUUUAGGCUGAAUUUCAAGCAUCACAUUCAAAACAGGAAAACAUCCGUUGUGGGGGUUAAAUGGGAUCCACUCAGGUAGCUGGUAACUUUCAGCAGAUGUAUGGAAUCAUCACAGCCUCUGUUGUGUGAGCAUUAGGCCGCGCAGCAGACGUGACAAUUGGAGGUCCCACUGAGAUCGUGAAAGCGAG